rnacentral:rRNA from 1 species
UACAGAGGUCUCAAGCGUUGUUCGGAUUCAUUGGGCGUAAAGGGCGCGUAGGCGGCGGGGUAAGUCGGGUGUGAAAUCUCAGAGCUCAACUCUGAAAUGGCACUUGAUACUGCUCUGCUGAGGAGCUGGAGAGGAGAUUGGAAUUCACGGUGUAGCAGUGAAAUGCGUAGAUAAUCGUGAGGAAGACCGGUGGCGAAGGCGGAUCUCUGGACAGUUCCUGACGCUGAGGCGCGAAGGCCAGGGGAGCAAACGGG